UACGGGGGGAGCAAGCGUUGUUCGGAUUAACUGGGCGUAAAGGGCGCGUAGGCGGUCAGCACAAGUCAAUUGUGAAAUCUCCGAGCUUAACUCGGAAAGGUCAACUGAAACUGUGCGACUAGAGUGCGGAAGGGGCAACUGGAAUUCUUGGUGUAGCGGUGAAAUGCGUAGAUAUCAAGAGGAACACCUGCGGCGAAGGCGGGUUGCUGGGCCGACACUGACGCUGAAGCGCGAAAGCCAGGGGAGCGAACGGG
rnacentral:rRNA from 1 species